rnacentral:rRNA from 1 species
UACGGGGGGGCAAGCGUUGUUCGGAAUUACUGGGCGUAAAGGGCUCGUAGGUGGCCAACUAAGUCAGACGUGAAAUCCCUCGGCUUAACCGGGGAACUGCGUCUGAUACUGGAUGGCUGGAGUAUGGGAGAGGGAUGCGGAAUUCCAGGUGUAGCGGUGAAAUGCGUAGAUAUCUGGAGGAACACCGGUGGCGAAGGCGGCAUCCUGGACCAUUACUGACGCUGAGGAGCGAAAGCCAGGGGAGCAAACGGG